UCUAGAUUAGAGUUUGAUCCUGGCUCAGAUUGAACGCUGGCGGCAGGCCUAACACAUGCAAGUCGAGCGGUAGCACAGAGAGCUUGCUCUCGGGUGACGAGCGGCGGACGGGUGAGUAAUGUCUGGGAAACUGCCUGAUGGAGGGGGAUAACUACUGGAAACGGUAGCUAAUACCGCAUAACGUCGCAAGACCAAAGUGGGGGACCUUCGGGCCUCAUGCCAUCAGAUGUGCCCAGAUGGGAUUAGCUAGUAGGUGGGGUAACGGCUCACCUAGGCGACGAUCCCUAGCUGGUCUGAGAGGAUGACCAGCCACACUGGAACUGAGACACGGUCCAGACUCCUACGGGAGGCAGCAGUGGGGAAUAUUGCACAAUGGGCGCAAGCCUGAUGCAGCCAUGCCGCGUGUGUGAAGAAGGCCUUCGGGUUGUAAAGCACUUUCAGCGGGGAGGAAGGCGGUGAGGUUAAUAACCUCACCGAUUGACGUUACCCGCAGAAGAAGCACCGGCUAACUCCGUGCCAGCAGCCGCGGUAAUACGGAGGGUGCAAGCGUUAAUCGGAAUUACUGGGCGUAAAGCGCACGCAGGCGGUCUGUCAAGUCGGAUGUGAAAUCCCCGGGCUCAACCUGGGAACUGCAUUCGAAACUGGCAGGCUAGAGUCUUGUAGAGGGGGGUAGAAUUCCAGGUGUAGCGGUGAAAUGCGUAGAGAUCUGGAGGAAUACCGGUGGCGAAGGCGGCCCCCUGGACAAAGACUGACGCUCAGGUGCGAAAGCGUGGGGAGCAUACAGGAUUAGAUACCCUGGUAGUCCACGCUGUAAACGAUGUCGAUUUGGAGGUUGUGCCCUUGAGGCGUGGCUUCCGGAGCUAACGCGUUAAAUCGACCGCCUGGGGAGUACGGCCGCAAGGUUAAAACUCAAAUGAAUUGACGGGGGCCCGCACAAGCGGUGGAGCAUGGUGGUUUAAUUCGAUGCAACGCGAAGAACCUUACCUGGUCUUGACAUCCACAGAACUUUCCAGAGAUGGAUUGGUGCCUUCGGGAACUGUGAGACAGGUGCUGCAUGGCUGUCGUCAGCUCGUGUUGUGAAAUGUUGGGUUAAGUCCCGCAACGAGCGCAACCCUUAUCCUUUGUUGCCAGCGGUUAGGCCGGGAACUCAAAGGAGACUGCCAGUGAUAAACUGGAGGAAGGUGGGGAUGACGUCAAGUCAUCAUGGCCCUUACGACCAGGGCUACACACGUGCUACAAUGGCAUAUACAAAGAGAAGCGACCUCGCGAGAGCAAGCGGACCUCAUAAAGUAUGUCGUAGUCCGGAUUGGAGUCUGCAACUCGACUCCAUGAAGUCGGAAUCGCUAGUAAUCGUAGAUCAGAAUGCUACGGUGAAUACGUUCCCGGGCCUUGUACACACCGCCCGUCACACCAUGGGAGUGGGUUGCAAAAGAAGUAGGUAGCUUAACCUUCGGGAGGGCGCUUACCACUUUGUGAUUCAUGACUGGGGUGAAGUCGUAACAAGGUAGCCGUA
rnacentral:rRNA from 1 species